rnacentral:tRNA from 1 species
GCGCCGGAAGCAUCUCGUCGGACAAUCCGCAACGGACUCUUAAUCCGCAGGUUCAGGGUUCGAAUCCCUGGGGGCGCACAA